rnacentral:rRNA from 1 species
AGCACGUUAUGGUGGGCACUCUAAGGAGACUGCCGGUGACAAACCGGAGGAAGGUGGGGAUGACGUCAAGUCAUCAUGGCCCUUACGGCCUGGGCUACACACGUGCUACAAUGGUCGGUACAAAGGGUUGCCAAGCCGCGAGGUGGAGCUAAUCCAUAAAACCGAUCGUAGUCCGGAUCGCAGUCUGCAACUCGACUGCGUGAAGUCGGAAUCGCUAGUAAUCGUGAAUCAGAAUGUCACGGUGAAUACGUUCCCGGGCCUU